AGCAGCGCGACAGCCGAAAAAGCAGUUGUUGCCGGCAGCGGGUCCUUUGGAGUUUAAGUAGUCUCCAGUUGAGCUAUACGCCGAGUAGAUAUUCGUUUAUAUUUAUAGAUAUCUAAUGCAGCACGUUACAGGGUUAAUGAUAUCUGAAUCUGAUAAAAGAACAGGAAAAUAAAACCGCAAACAGGGUUCGUCCGGGAUUUGAACGCGGGAUCUCUCGCACCCAAAGGGAGAAUUAUACUCCUAAACUAACAAACCAAGGGAGAGGAAGAGUUUUGACAGUACUUUUACUGUGGCAACCCUGGAUCGGUGACUGGAUAUGGAUCCCUUUUUGAGAACAUUGCGGGAUCAGGAUGAUAGUGCGGUUUUGACCUCUUGUGAGCCUGAGCUCCAGGAACUAAUGCGUCAGAUUGACAUCAUGGUUGCUGAAAAGCAGACCCAGUGGGACCAAGAGAUGAAGGCCUUGAAGGGGAAUCUGGCAGAUAAUGAAAGGGACCUGAAAUCCACCAGAGAUCGCUUAGAGAGAAAGCAUGCCGAGGUAUCUAUACUUGUAGCAACUUUUCAGAUUUCUUGAGUAUUGAUGGACAAAAUACAUUGCUCAUUUUUUUGCUCUGACCCACUUCCUUUACUUCUAGUACAUAUUUAAAGUCAGAGUAGUAGUCAUUACUCUGUUAGAGAUUCAGACCAGUGGCUUUUGGAUGACAAAGUUUGUACUGGAGAAACAAUUGCACAAGGUGAACUGACAUGGAGGAUGUAGUUGAACAUUUUCAGCUGCAUGUGUGUGAAUAUCUGUGCCUUCAGCUGUAUAUUAUAUGGUUUUUAUGUAUUAUUUUAUGUA